GUUCCCAGGGAUCACGAUGGGACUACAGGACAGGAAAAGCAGCAGGCGGAGGUAGACAGAGCUGAGCCCAUUUGCCCUGGUUGUCAGUUCUGAUCUGGGGGACUUGGGGUUUUUUUCAUUUUUCUUUGGCUUUUUAAGCACUUCUACUCACUAUUGGUGACCAAAAAGGAGCCAGAUAUGAGCGUUCUCUGAGCAUAAGGCCUCUCUCCCUAGGGCUCCUAAUGCACGCACAGCUGCAAAGCCACCUCAAGAAACGCAGACAAAACACUGGACCCUUGUCUCCUACAACUGCUGGCCUGCACAAAUGCUCCCUAAAGCUCAGGGCAUUUCACAGACCUCCUAGAUGCCAGGUUGAAGGCUGACAGUGCCCAUCCCCCGUCACUGCAGUUAUGUAAGCCUGCUUCCGGCAAAAGGCCCUGGCGAAAAUCACACGCAGUUAGUGGUGUCGCCAAGGGAACAUUGCCCAUCAUGACUCUUGGGGCCUCCUGAUGCUCCACUCGGUGUGAGAAUAUGAGGAUCGAUCAAGAGAAGACGCUAACCUCGAGACAGAGCACUAAAUCUGAGCAGAAAACAGGAAGGCCUGUGUUGAGCCUCCAUUUGCGUAAACCUACAGACGCCAUCAACUCCUCCAACAGCCAAGGCCUUUUCUAACCACAAGGGGGCGCCCGGAUCAUGCUUUAAUAUAACACAUGGCACAUAUGAGUGCACAUGCAUCUAGAAGCCAGAACUCAAUGAGCUCCUUCAUUGCUCUCUACUGAGUAUUUUUAAAACAAGCUCUGUCACGGAACCUGUAUAGAACUGGCUUGUCCACAAGCCCCUGGAAUCCACAUGUAUUUGCUUCCCCAUCCCUAGAAUCACAGGAGACCACCACUGCAGCCAGCUGGUUAGAGGUAUAGAUUGUUGCUAUUUGGAAUCAGAUGCUGUGGCAUACUGCAACUGUUUCCAUAGUUCCUAGAGGCUACUUUGUAUCCAUCUAGUUCAUCAAACCCUCAGGUCCUGCUUCCCGGUAAGCUGCAUACUCAGUGGAAUUCAAGAUCCCGCAUCAGAUGCAAAGAAGUAGCAGGGACCAUUCAGCCAGCCCCAUAUUGAGAAGUCAGCUCUCUGCAGGGAAUGUCAGGUAGGCCAGGAACUGUACCUGAGUGAGCGAGGUGACGCAGGGAUGAUCCCCCUAAAACCAAGCUUUCAAACCACAGUACCCAGGCCUUAGCUCUUCCAUGAUCUCAUGCAAGCACAAAAGCCCACCCACUCACAAGAAGUUCAAUAGAAAAGAACAGAAGAAAAAAAUCUACAUUUGCACUCUAUGAGAUAACUGGUACACAAUCAUAAUUACACUGUCAGAUGUUUCUGACAUUUUAAGUCAGAGUCAAAGCUAGCUAGUUCCUUGGAAACUAAAUAAAAUGUCAAUAAAUUC
rnacentral:lncRNA from 1 species